CCCCUGGGCGGCAUGGGAUCACCGACCGACAAUCGGCGUGUUGCGGGUUCGAGUCCCGCCGGGGGCA
rnacentral:tRNA from 1 species